CUUAGCAAUUCUAUCCAACUACCAGAACAAUUAUGUUAAAAAAUUUUUAAAAUGCAUCCAUAUCAGAGAGGAAGA
rnacentral:snoRNA from 10 species